GGUGAGUAUCCACGAACAUAAUAGAGGUACAUGUGAAAGUUUCUUCAACUAAAGGCGGUGAUCUAUUCGCGAGCAAAACCUCGACAAGCCAACAAGCAACAAUCUAUACCGUCGCCUCGCCAGUGGAUGACCGCCUUAACACUCAUGUUCUUAAGGCAUGAAGAAGAAGCCUUAAAGGAAAUAUCCUUCAAAACAAAGACAAACCUUAUUUUACCAUUGUUGUAGUCCUAUGGCACCCCAGAGGUGUCAUAACAUCUGCCACCUAUCUUUGUUUAACCACCUAUGUUUGGUCUCGCUCCAGCCAAGUCCAGUGGCUAACAAUAUAUACCUACUAAUAAUAAUAAUAAGAUAAACCUUCCUAUACUAUCAUAAUGUCUGUAACCUAAACCCCAUGAUACUAACCAGAAUUUUGGUAUUUGUAGGUUUUUACUGCGUUGCAACUGGCUCCAGACUGGAAUUUAUAACCAAGACUAAAUAUUCAAGUGCCUAUCUGAAGUACUUAACAACAAGUUGUAUUAAGAUCUUAUGAAGUUAAUACCUACAUAAGAAACUAAAUUGGCAUAUCAUUCUGCUACUGAAUAAUCAAGAAGCAGUUUUUUAGCUAAUAGAAGAGAACCUUAUGCUUGAUAUUUCAGAACACUAAUAAUAAUUGUGAUGUGAUUUAAUAUGAUACUUAAUAAACACAAAAUACAGCAAA